rnacentral:siRNA from 1 species
ACCAGUAAUGCCUCUGUUGAUGCA